UACGAAGGGGGCUAGCGUUGCUCGGAAUCACUGGGCGUAAAGCGCACGUAGGCGGAUUGCUAAGUCAGGGGUGAAAUCCUGGAGCUCAACUCCAGAACUGCCUUUGAUACUGGCGAUCUCGAGUCCGGGAGAGGUGAGUGGAACUGCGAGUGUAGAGGUGAAAUUCGUAGAUAUCGGGAGGAACACCAGUGGCGAAGGCGACUUCCUGGCCUGUUCUUGACGCUGAGGCGCGAAAGCUAGGGGAGCAAACGGGG
rnacentral:rRNA from 1 species